GGAGGAUCUUUAUUACCCGCAUCCUUUUGUUCAAGAUUUGAUGUGGGAUAGUCUCUACAUAUGUACCGAGCCUCUAUUGACUCGUUGGCCUUUCAACAAGUUGAGAAAUAAAGCUCUUGAAGUUACCAUGAAACACAUACACUAUGAAGACGAGAAUAGUCGAUACAUCACCAUGGGAUGUGUGGAAAAAGUAUUGAGUAUGCUCGCUUGUUGGGUUGAGGAUCCCAAUGGCGAUCAUUUCAAAAAACAUCUUGCUAGGAUCCCAGAUUUUUUAUGGGUAGCUGAAGACGGAAUGAAAAUGCAGGGUUGUGGUAGUCAAUCAUGGGAUGCUAGUCUUGCUAUUCAAGCGCUAUUGGCCAGUGAGAUGAAUGAUGAGAUAUCAGAUACUCUUAAAAAUGGACACGACUUUAUAAAACAAUCUCAGGUGAAGGACAAUCCUUCUGGUGAUUUUAAAGUGAUGUAUCGGCAUAUCUCAAAAGGAUCAUGGGCUUUUGCAGAUCAAGAUCUCGGAUGGCAAGUAUCUGAUUGCACUGCCGAAGCGUUAAAGUGCUGCCUUCUCUUCUCUACAAUGCCUCCUGAAAUAGUUGGUGAGGCAAUGG
rnacentral:misc_RNA from 1 species